GUCCACGCUGUAAACGAUGAGCACUAGGUGUGGGGGGUUCAGUCCCCUCCGUGCCGCAGCUAACGCAUUAAGUGCUCCGCCUGGGGGAGUACGGCCGCAAGGUUGAAACUCAAAGGAAUUGACGGGGGCCCGCACAAGCGGUGGAGCAUGUGGUUCAAUUCGAUGCAGAGCGAAGAACCUUACCUGGGCUUGACAUGCAGGAAGUAGAAACCGGAAACGGCGACGACCUGUUAAGUCAGGAACCUGCACAGGUGGUGCAUGGCUGUCGU
rnacentral:rRNA from 1 species